GGGGGGGGGGGGUGGGGGGGGGGGGGGGGGGGGGUGGGGGGGGGGGAAGGGAUGGAGGGGGGGGGUGGGGGGGGGGGGGGGGGGGGGGUGGGGGGGGGGGAAGGGGGGGAGGGGGGGGGGGGGUGGGGGGGGGGGGGGGUGGGGGGGGGGGGUGGGGGGGGGGGGGGGGAGGGAGGGAGUGGGGGGAGGGGGUGGAGGGGGGGGGGGGGGAGGGGG
rnacentral:lncRNA from 1 species